rnacentral:lncRNA from 1 species
CUCCAAUAUAUCAUCCUAGAUGGAACCACAUGAAAGGUGCCCCAUUGUGCUAAGCCAAGCAAGCGGACAAUCACACUCUUCCUUCCCUGCAGACAGUGCCUGCCUUGAGGAUUUUAGGUGUCCCAUUGUGAGAAUCCAAGCAAGUGGACAUUCACACUCCUCAUUUGCUCCCGACAAUGCCUGCCUUGGGGAUUUUAGGUGAGACAACUUCUUUCCAACACUUGGUCUCCACUAGUUUCCAAAAAGUGCAUUCUUUGAAGGAAGUACCCUGGUUAGCAUCUCCAGAAGAUUAAAUUCUGGCUGUGAUGCCACCAACAACUGGCUACUGUGAUGACUUAGGGAGCCACUAUGUAACACAUCUGGUGACCAGGCUCUGUUGUGACAGCAGAAGUUUGAGCAAGACCCUACAUUCAUCCAAUGAGAAGCUCCAGAUCUUAUGUUUAGCUUGUGCAAGCUCCAUUCUCUGAUCUUCAGAGAAUCUUUAUUUGCACAAGCAAGGUGUCACCACACAGGACGAUGAACUUUAGGAGUUCCAGAUGUACCACAGGCAUCCCAUCAGCAGUUAAUGAUUCCCAGAUGGACUUACAUGUAUCCUGCUAGUUGUUUAUGUUUUGGCAUCAAUGGUCUGAGCAGUAACUUAAAAAAUUGACUUGACUGCCUGUCCCUGACCCUCCCCAGAAGGCAUGUAACCUCCAACUUAUGGUCUAGUUUCCUUUAAAAACUUGCCCUCCCUUGAGUUCAGGGUGGCAUUCUCUUCACCUGCUGAGUCAGUGUGUGGGGUGCAGACUGGAGUUAGAGACUCUGGUUUCAUUGCAUGGGACUCUGGCUCCUCAAGGUCUCAUCAU